GACGAACGCUGGCGGCGUGCUAACACAUGCAAGUCGAACGAUGAAGCUGGAGCUUGCUCCGGUGGAUUAGUGGCGAACGGGUGAGUAACACGUGAGAAAUCUGCCCUUGACUCUGGGAUAACUGCGGGAAACUGUAGCUAAUACCGGAUAUUUUCCUUGGUGGGCAUCCACUGGGGAAGAAAGAAUUUCGGUCAAGGAUGAUCUGGCGGCCUAUCAGCUAGUUGGUGAGGUAAUGGCUCACCAAGGCGACGACGGGUAGCCGGCCUGAGAGGGGGACCGGCCACACUGGGACUGAGACACGGCCCAGACUCCUACGGGAGGCAGCAGUGGGGAAUAUUGCACAAUGGGCGCAAGCCUGAUGCAGCAACGCCGCGUGAGGGAUGAAGGCCUUCGGGUUGUAAACCUCUUUUAGCAGGGAAGAAGCGAAAGUGACGGUACCUGCAGAAAAAGCACCGGCUAACUACGUGCCAGCCGCCGCCGUAA
rnacentral:rRNA from 1 species